UACAGAGACUGCAAGCGUUAUUCGGAUUCACUGGGCGUAAAGGGUGCGCAGGCGGCCGGGUGUGUCAGAUGUGAAAUCCCGAGGCUUAACCUCGGAACUGCGUCUGAAACUACUCGGCUAGAGUACUGGAGAGGGUAACGGAAUUCACGGUGUAGCAGUGAAAUGCGUAGAUAUUGGGAGGAACACCAGUGGCGAAGGCGGCUCACUGGACCGGAACUGACGCUGAGGCGCGAAAGCGUGGGGAGCAAACAGG
rnacentral:rRNA from 1 species